UACGUUUUCCUUCCUGAUGGGGUGAAAUUCUACACAUUUGGGAUGGCAGCCAUAUGUUGGGCAAUCUGGAACAGCCGCAACCAAACUACCUUUGAAAUGAAAAAAUUGAGAACCCCUUUUGAUAUUGUGUUCUCUGCUUGUGGAUAUAUCACUUACUGGGCAGGGUUGAUGAGUGGAGCUGAUUGAGAAGCGAUGGAACGUGGAGCCAUGUUGCUGAGGACCAACGCCUCGACGAUGAUGAGGAUUUGUGCGGUGCCAAGGGGGGUGAUGGAAGACUAA
rnacentral:rRNA from 1 species